CAUUUCUGAAUGUCCAAAUGCCC
rnacentral:piRNA from 1 species